rnacentral:misc_RNA from 3 species
AACGCACAUUGCACCUCUUGGUAAUCCUUGAGGUAUACUUGUUCGAGCGCCGUUUAUGUUCUAAGACUUUGUCUUGUGUUGAUGUUUAUUCUGUUUAAAGAAUUCAUCUAAACAUAUUGGCACCUAUUUUUUAUGGUCUAAACCGCAGCAAAAUGCGUUUUAAAGAUUAAAAAAAUUGAUAGCCUGUUUUUAUUUAUUUUAUUCAAAAACAUGGCCUCGGAUCAAGUAGGGAUACCCGCUGAACUUAA